rnacentral:rRNA from 1 species
UGAGGAAUAUUGGUCAAUGGGCGGGAGCCUGAACCAGCCAAGCCGCGUGAGGGAAGAAGGCCCUAUGGCUCGUAAACCUCUUUUGUCAGGGAACAAAAGCGAGUAUGUAUACUAGUCUGAGUGUACCUGAAGAAAAAGCAUCGGCUAACUCCGUGCCAGCAGCCGCGGUAAUACGGAGGAUGCGAGCGUUAUCCGGAUUUAUUGGGUUUAAAGGGUGCGUAGGCGGCGAUGCAAGUCAGCGGUAAAACGCCCGGGGCUCAACCCCGGCGAGCCGUUGAAACUGCAGUGCUAGAGAAGGCGAGAGGUACGCGGAAUGCGCAGUGUAGCGGUGAAAUGCUUAGAUAUUGCGCAGAACUCCGAUUGCGAAGGCAGCGUACUGGCGCCUGACUGACGCUGAGGCACGAAAGCGUGGGGAUCGAACAGGAUUAGAUACC